rnacentral:rRNA from 1 species
CAGGACGAACGCUGGCGGCGUGCUAACACAUGCAAGUCGAACGGGAGUAUUGAAGAAGCUUGCUUAGAGAUACUUUAGUGGCGGACGGGUGAGUAACGCGUGAGGAGCUGUCCUAUGCAGGGGGACAACAGCUGGAAACGGCUGCUAAUACCCCAUAAGCCGAGAGGUAAAAGGAUCAAUCCGGCAGAGGAGGUACUCGCGUCCUAUCAGCUAGUAGGUGAGGUAACGGCUCACCUAGGCGAAGACGGGUAGCCGGCCUGAGAGGGCGAACGGCCACACUGGAACUGAGAUACGGUCCAGACUCCUACGGGAGGCAGCAGUGGGGAAUAUUGGGCAAUUGGGGGGAAACCCUGACCCAGCGACGCCGCGUGGGUGAAGGAAUCCUUCGGGAUGUAAAGCCCUGUUGUAUGGGAAGAGCGGAAGACGGUACCAUACGAGGAAGCCCCGGCAAACUACGUGCCAGCCGCCGC